rnacentral:rRNA from 1 species
CCUACGGGAGGCAGCAGUAAGGAAUAUUGGUCAAUGGAGGCAACUCUGAACCAGCCAUGCCGCGUGCAGGAAGAAGGCCCUAUGGGUCGUAAACUGCUUUUGUACCAGAGAAAACCCGAGUACGUGUACUCGGUUGAUAGUAUGGUAAGAAUAAGCAUCGGCUAACUUCGUGCCAGCAGCCGCGGUAAGACGAAGGAUGCAAGCGUUAUCCGGAUUCAUUGGGUUUAAAGGGUGCGUAGGCGGACUGAUAAGUCAGUGGUGAAAUCUCUCGGCUUAACCGAGAAACUGCCAUUGAUACUGUUAGUCUAGAGUAUAGAUGACGUUGGCGGAAUAUGACAUGUAGUGGUGAAAUACUUAGAUAUGUCAUAGAACACCGAUUGCGAAGGCAGCUAACGAAACUAUAACUGACGCUGAGGCACGAAAGUGCGGGGAUCAAACAGGAUUAGAUACCCUGGUAGUCCGCACCGUAAACGAUGAUUACUCGUUGUUGGCAAUAUGACCGUCAGCGACCAAGCGAAAGCGAUAAGUAAUCCACCUGGGGAGUACGCCGGCAACGGUGAAACUUAAAGGAAAUUGACGG